CCUACGGGAGGCAGCAGUGGGGAAUAUUGCACAAUGGGCGCAAGCCUGAUGCAGCGACGCCGCGUGAGGGAUGAAGGCCUUCGGGUUGUAAACCUCUUUCAGUAGGGACGAAGCGCAAGUGACGGUACCUACAGAAGAAGCACCGGCUAACUACGUGCCAGCAGCCGCGGUAAUACGUAGGGUGCAAGCAUUGUCCGGAUUUAUUGGGCGUAAAGAGCUCGUAGGCGGCCUGACACGUCGGAUGUGAAAACACGCAACUUAACUGCGUGCCUGCAUUCGAUACGGUCAAGCUAGAGGAUGGCAGGGGAAACUGGAAUUCCUGGUGUAGCGGUGGAAUGCGCAGAUAUCAGGAGGAACACCGGUGGCGAAGGCGGGUUUCUGGGCCAUUACUGACGCUGAGGAGCGAAAGCGUGGGGAGCAAACAGGAUUAGAUACCCUAGUAGUC
rnacentral:rRNA from 1 species